rnacentral:rRNA from 1 species
GGACGAACGCUGGCGGCGUGCCUAAUACAUGCAAGUCGAACGGUCUUUCUAUGGAAGCUUGCUUCCACUGAGAAGAUAGUGGCGAACGGGUGAGUAACACGUGGGUAACCUGCCCAUAAGAGGGGGAUAACAUCCGGAAACGGGUGCUAAUACCGCAUAGUUUUCUUGAUCGCAUGAUUGAGAAAGGAAAGACGGCCUUUGUGCUGUCGCUUAUGGAUGGACCCGCGGCGUAUUAGUUAGUUGGUGAGGUAACGGCUCACCAAGACGAUGAUACGUAGCCGACCUGAGAGGGUGAUCGGCCACAUUGGGACUGAGACACGGCCCAAACUCCUACGGGAGGCAGCAGUAGGGAAUCUUCCGCAAUGGACGAAAGUCUGACGGAGCAACGCCGCGUGAGUGAAGAAAAGGUUUUCGGAUCGUAAAACUCUGUUGUCAGAGAAGAACAAGUUGGAGAGUAACUGCUCCAGCCUUGACGGUAUCUGACCAGAAAGCCACGGCUAACUACGUGCCAGCCGCCGC